rnacentral:lncRNA from 1 species
UUGUUUUGUGUGUGUGUGAAAUGGAAAAUAUCUCCAGUGGAGGAAACCAUUUCUUCUAUUUAACCAGGGUUUUCUAUAACUGGAUAGUUUUUCGUGGUCUUAGGUUAUUGUCUAGGAUAUGAUUAAGGUUCACAAGAGGUGAAAACACUUGAUUAUUCUAAAUAUACUUUAAAAAAAAAAUAUUUUUACAGUACAGUCACAGCCACAGCAGCACAGGCCUCAUCUGAUGUCCUGAAGACUAGGAAGGAGCCUGAGGAUGGUGGGUUGGAGGGAGGAGUGCAUACUAGGAAGGAGCCUGAGGAUGGUGGGUUGGAGGGAGGAGUGCAUACAAGGAAGGAGCCUGAGGAUGGUGGGUUGGAGGGAGGAGUGCAUACUAGGAAGGAACCUGAGGAUGGUGAGAACAGAAGAUCUAACUUGGUGCAGGUUACAACAAUAAAAAAUGUGGAGAUCUUAGAAAGCGAGGUGGUU